rnacentral:tRNA from 1 species
UGGCUCAGUGGUAGAGCUCUUGCCUUGCAUGCAUGAGGCCCUGGGUUCGAUUCCGCAG